UGAUGAUGAUGAUGAUGAUGAUGGGUAUAGUGACAAUGAUUAAUGAUUUCUAUCAAAUACUUAAAACAUGAAAGUUGAACCUUCAGAGGCAAUUGAGGCUGAGUCAGUUCUUAAUGUAGCAGUAAGAAAUAGACGUAGAAGAACUCGAGGGACAAAAUGGAAAAAGAAGAGAGAGGCAAACAAAGCACCAGUGAAAGUUGAUAUACCACCAUUAUUGAUGAGAGCUGUUGGUGAAAAUGCACAACAAUUUAUUACUGAGACAAGUUAACUUGUUAAGCAGUAUUGUCCUUUGAAUAUUUUGAAAUGGGUACAUAUUGAUUCAAAGAUCAAAGGCCGGCUCAUGAAAGAAGUGAAGCAUAUAAGUGGGACCAAUUCUAGGAAUAGGGAGAAGCAAGAGAUGUUGGCAUGUGUUGGCACGAAGUCCAUUGCAAGGAUUGCAUAUGAAAUGCAAUCUAAAACUUAAAAAGAAAAUGUCAAAGAACCAGAGUAUAUAAGACUUUUUGUGAAACAAAGAAAAAAGAAGGAUGGAAAUUGGGUUGAUAAAGAGGCUGAGGAAGCAUAUCAAAAGCCAUUGGAUUUACAUAAAGCACAAUUGGAAGAGCAUAGGGUGGAUAAUCUUUCAACCACUGAAGCAUAUAUAAUUUAUUUUAGGACAUGAAUCAAGGUACCAAAGAGGCAUGAGAGAAGGCUGGCCUCCUUUGAAACGUGUUUAUCAUGGAGGUCAAGAUCAACAUGGCUCUACUCUUGAUGAAAAUGCUAUUAAUGCUCGAAUACAAGUUGAAGUGGAAAGACAAGUAGCUGAGUUUUCUACAAAAAAGGAAGCUAAAAUUCGUGAUAAAGUGAAGGCCGAGUUGUGUGAUGAGAUACGAAAUGAAAUGUGCUCAUUACUUCAAUAAGAAUUUUCCUCUAUGCUUGAUUACGUAUCCACUGUUAGUUAUUUUUUCCUUCUCUAAUUUUACUUCAACAAUUAUUACUUAUUAGAUUAUCUUAGUCAAUGGUUCAUUGCAUUUUUUACAGGAUUUUAUUCCAUCUUUACAUCCUACAAAGAAUUUAAUGCGAGAAACUGAUCAUAUGAAGGAUAUUAAUGUAUGUAACAAUAAAUGACCCAAAUCUUAUUAGUAAAGAGUUUUUACGUGCUUCAUAUCUUUUACUUCAUGUUGAACUUUCAAGUACAAAUGCUCAAUGCGCGAUUCUCACCAACGCGCGAUUCUCACCAAAGUGUAAGUUUUUUUUGCCCUUUUCUUCUUGAAGUUUACAUUAAGAAUUAUUACUUAUACAUUAUAUUAUUUAAGUGAUUCAUUACAUUUUGACAAGAUAUUGUGUCCUCUUCAUAUCCUACAAAGAAUUCAAUGCUUGAAAUUGAUCAUUUAGAAGAUAUUGGUGUAUGUAACAAUAAAUUACCUAAUUUUUUUUUAAGGAAGAGCUUCUAUAUGCACGUUAUAUUUUUUACUUCUUAUUGAACUUUCAGGUUGGACCCAUAACUUUGACGCACAAUUCUUACCACACUGUUAGCUAAUUAUUUUGCUUCUUCAAUCUUACUUCAACAAUUAUUACAUAUUAUAUUAUCUUGUUCAGGUUAAUCAUUACAUUUUGUUUAUUUCAUCUUUAUAGGUAAUGAAGAAUUCAAUGCUCAUGAAUGUAACAAUAAAUAGCCUCAUUCUCAUUACUAAGAGUUGCUUCUAUAUGUGUCUGAUAUCUUCUAAUAUAUGUUCAACUUUUCAGGUUAGCAUGAAAUGAUCAACACGUAAAUUUGCUUCAAAAGAUAUAGAAUUUUACAUGAUUCACAUAAGAAGUAAAAAAUGUUUGUACUUAUAUAUAAAUAUAUUUUUUUUAUAACAUUUUAUUUUUUUUAUUUAAAAAAAAAAAGGUUCAAGAGACUAAUAUCUACUUUGUUAUUUUAGAUCAAAGAACAAUGCACAUGUCCAUGUCCACUCCUAGGAAAGUGUUUAAGAAGCAAUCCAUUCAAACAAUUAUUAGUUCUAAUAUGCUUUAAUUUCCUCAUAAUUUGAUUUCUUGGACAUUACAUGCAUUUAGUUAUAUAAAUUUACCUUUUUGAAACUAUUUUGUCAAAUGGAAGAAAAUUAUCAUCUUUAUAUAUUUCAUAGGGAAAUUUAUCAAGCAAGAUAGCUAAGGUGAAUGAGAAGUAAAAGGAAUACUUAAUGAGAAGUUAACUUUUUUGUUUUUGAUGCUAGGUAUAUGUUUUUCACUUUAUAUUAUUUGUGCUAGUUUUGCAUUUAUGUAGAUGCUUCCAUUUUGUUAAAUGAAUAUAAUUAGCAAGUUAUUGUCAACCAAUGAUUUUGAGCUUUUAUUUCCAUAUAUUUGUCAUAUAUAACACUUACAUUUCUUUAAUUGCAAAAUGUAGAUCAAAGAAGACAAUGGUCUAGAUUUGAUCAAGCUUAUUAAACCAUUUUGUCGAAAGGUCACAAAUAUUUUCUACCUAUAUGUAGCACCAUAUUUUUAAUUUGGUGAAUUAUAUAAUUGUACAUUAGAAGCUCAUAUUUUAAUUUCAAUUUACUACUUUUUCAUGCUCUCAUAAUAACUUUGUAAUUUGUUUAUGAUGAAUUCUAAUAUCAUAUUGUUUCGCUUGAUUAGGCCUUAAAGUUGUGCUUCCAUAUGGACAAAGAUCGAUGGCAUGUAUAUGAUUAUUGGUCGAUCCUCAAUAUGUUCUCUCCUUUUUGUAUGAAACAUGUUGCUUUAUACUUUUAUUUAUGUAAAUACAACUAAAUGAGCUAUGUCCAUUUUGGGAAGAUAUUUAUAACAUUUUGAUGUAUAGAUUCUAUUUUGUGCUAUGUAAAUAAUUAUAUAUUUAUAAAUUGUCGCUAUUAUUAUAUUAUUGUAAUCUUUGAAUUAAUUAAUGUA
rnacentral:misc_RNA from 1 species